rnacentral:rRNA from 1 species
UACAGAGGGUGCAAGCGUUAAUCGGAAUUACUGGGCGUAAAGCGUGCGUAGACGGUUACAUAAGUCGGGUGUGAAAGCCCCAGGGCUCAACCUGGGAAUUGCAUUCGAGACUGCGUAGGCUAGGGUGCGGAAGAGGGAAGCGGGAAUUUCCGGUGUAGCGGUGGAAAUGCGUAGAUAUCGGAAGGAACACCAGUGGCGAAAGCG